rnacentral:rRNA from 1 species
GAUGAACGCUGGCGGCGUGCCUAAUACAUGCAAGUCGAGCGAACGGACGAGAAGCUUGCUUCUCUGAUGUUAGCGGCGGACGGGUGAGUAACACGUGGAUAACCUACCUAUAAGACUGGGAUAACUUCGGGAAACCGGAGCUAAUACCGGUUGUUAUUUUGAACCGCAUGGUUCAAAAGUGAAAGACGGUCUUGCUGUCACUUAUAGAUGGAUCCGCGCUGCAUUAGCUAGUUGGUAAGGUAACGGCUUACCAAGGCAACGAUGCAUAGCCGACCUGAGAGGGAGAUCGGCCACACUGGAACUGAGACACGGUCCAGACUCCUACGGGAGGCAGCAGAAGGGAAUCUGCCGCAAUGGGGGAAAGCCUGACGGAGCAACGCCGCGUGAGUGAUGAAGGUCUUCGGAUCGUAAAACUCUGUUAUUAGGGAAGAACAGAUGUGUAAGUAACUGUGCACAUCUUGACGGUACCUAAUCAGAAAGCCACGGCUAACUACGUG